rnacentral:rRNA from 1 species
GACGUAGGAGGCGAGCGUUGUCCGGAUUCAUUGGGCGUAAAGAGCUCGUAGGCGGCUUAGCAAGUCGGGUGUGAAACCUCCAGGCUCAACCUGGAGACGCCACUCGAUACUGCUAUGGCUUGAGUUCGGUAGGGGACCAUGGAAUUCCUGGUGUAGCGGUGAAAUGCGCAGAUAUCAGGAGGAACACCGAUGGCGAAGGCAGUGGUCUGGGCCGAUACUGACGCUGAGGAGCGAAAGCGUGGGGAGCGAACAGG